AGUCGAGGGGCAGCAUAAGAGUAGCUUGCUACUUUGGUGGCGACCGGCGCACGGGUGAGUAACGCGUAUGCAAUCUACCCUGUACUGGGGGAUAGCCCGAAGAAAUUCGGAUUAACACCCCAUAGUAUCUUAAUUUGGCAUCAUUUUAAGAUUAAAGGUUACGGUACAGGAUGAGCAUGCGUCCCAUUAGCUAGAUGGUAAGGUAACGGCUUACCAUGGCUACGAUGGGUAGGGGGCCUGAGAGGGUGGUCCCCCACACUGGUACUGAGACACGGCCCAGACUCCUACGGGAGGCAGCAGUGGGGAAUAUUGGACAAUGGGCGAAAGCCUGAUCCAGCAAUACCGCGUGUGUGAAGAAGGCCUUAGGGUUGUAAAGCACUUUCAAUUGGAAGGAAAAACUCAUGGCCAAUACCCAUGAGCUUGACAUUACCUUUAGAAGAAGCACCGGCUAACUCCGUGCCAGCAGCCGCGGUAAUACGGAGGGUGCGAGCGUUAAUCGGAAUUACUGGGCGUAAAGCGUGCGUAGGCGGCUCGUUAAGUCAGAUGUGAAAGCCCUGGGCUCAACCUGGGAACGGCAUUUGAAACUGGCGAGCUAGAGUUUGGGAGAGGAGAGUGGAAUUUCAGGUGUAGCGGUGAAAUGCGUAGAGAUCUGAAGGAACACCAGUGGCGAAGGCGACUCUCUGGCCUAAAACUGACGCUGAGGUACGAAAGCGUGGGUAGCAAACAGGAUUAGAUACCCUGGUAGUCCACGCCGUAAACGAUGUCAACUAGCCGUUGGCUCUCUUAGAGAGUUAGUGGCGCAGCUAACGCAUUAAGUUGACCGCCUGGGGA
rnacentral:rRNA from 1 species